GAUGAACGCUGGUGGCGUGCUUAACACAUGCAAGUCGAACGGGAAUGCCACGCUGAUGCGAUUUCGGUCAAAUCAUGUGGCAUUCGAGUGGCGGACGGGUGAGUAACGCGUGGGUAACCUGCCUUACACAGGGGGAUAACACCUGGAAACAGGUGCUAAUACCGCAUAAGCGCACAGGGCCGCAUGGCCCGGUGUGAAAAACUCCGGUGGUGUAAGAUGGACCCGCGUCUGAUUAGCUUGUUGGCGGGGUAGGGGCCCACCAAGGCGACGAUCAGUAGCCGGCCUGAGAGGGUGGACGGCCACAUUGGGACUGAGACACGGCCCAAACUCCUACGGGAGGCAGCAGUGGGGGAUAUUGGACAAUGGGGGAAACCCUGAUCCAGCGACGCCGCGUGAGUGAAGAAGUAUUUCGGUAUGUAAAGCUCUGUCAGCAGGGAAGAAAGAAAUGACGGUACCUGACCAAGAAGCCCCGGCUAACUACGUGCCAGCAGCCGCGGUAAUACGUA
rnacentral:rRNA from 1 species